ensembl:lncRNA
AAACUGUUACUAGAGUAUGAUGAAGCAGAGAGAAUUUUACUGGAAUAAAUGCAGAGAGUUCAGACUACAGAAGGGGCAAGGAAGCCUGCUUUAAUGAAGCAUUUUGAUUUUCUGAAUCAAUCCUGUAUUGACUGGGACUUUACCAUUCAAGAGACUAUCACCAAAGUCAAAGUCUUCACAAAAAAAGUGAUCUGAAGAAAGAGAGGGUACAGCUCAACAGGGAUAAACACAAAUGCUUCAUGUCAAAAUAAGUACUCAAAUUCAGUGUAGAAAAGCUGGCAAGUAAACUUUGGAAUAGACUGCCUGCAAAAGCAAGAAUAUUCUGAACUGAAGGUCAAUAAAGAACCAUCUGUCAUAGAUAUAGCUGAUUUGGCCUAGGAGUCAUAGGAAGGGCUGGAUGCCUACAUGAGGUCUGUUCUGGCCCUGCUGCCCUUUGAUUCCAACACUGUAAUCCUUGGGUAUGUCUUUCUUUCUUCCUCUCUUAUGCACUGCUAAGGAAGGAAAAUGUGAUGCAGACACUUAUAUUUUCAGUGGAAUAUGGAAGGUCCUUCAAGUGAAGACUGAUAAGGACAGAACUACCCUGUCUGUAGUACUCUAGUAAAUGGAUAAAGAUACUCUGCAUCUGGUGACAAAUCCAGUCAUAACAGUUGUGCCUUACUGUUCAUAGGAAGGAGAAAUGCCUGAAUUCUGCCAACAUUCGAAAAACACAAGUCUGUACUCAACAAACUGAAGUUCUCUGUGCUGGGAAUUUCAGUCUUGAGAAAUUCAGUCCCUUUCCUAGGGAGCUGGAAAGUAUCCAACACAGGGAAGAUUGGAUAGGCCUUACAAGGAGCACAGGCCUCUGCUGAGCUUUGCUCUGCCACGCAUGGUGAAAUGAGCAUCUAGAUUUCAGUGGCACAGGCACAGACAUAAAGUAUGGCAGUGGAAGAGUAGCAGAAGAAGGAGUCUGGUAUGGUUACAAAAUUGCCAUUACUUUAAUGGAUUAAUGUUUUUCAGACUUCCCUACAUUAAUCUGUGAGCAGUGAGGUUGAAUGCAAAUU